CCAAGGCGAAACCGCGAAUGGCUCAUUAAAUCAGUUAUGGUUCAUUGGAUCUUACCUUGUCCUACUCGGAUAACUGUGGUAAUUCUAGAGCUAAUACGUGCUUCCGAGCCCCGACCGCAAGGGAAGGGCGUUUUUAUUAGAUCAAAACCAAUCGGGCUGCGGUCCGUCCUCACUGUGGUGACUCUGAAUAACUUUGAGCUGAGCGCACGGUCCUCGUACCGGCGCCGUAUCCUUCAAGUGUCUGCCUUAUCAGCUGUCGAUUGUAGGCCAUGCGCCUACAAUGGCUAUAACGGGUAACGGGGAAUCAGGGUUCGAUUCCGGAGAGGGAGCCUGAGAAACGGCUACCACAUCUAAGGAAGGCAGCAGGCACGCAAAUUACCCACUCCCGGCACGGGGAGGUAGUGACGAAAAAUAACGAUGCGGGACUCUUCCGAGGCCUCGCAAUCGGAAUGAGUACACUUUAAAUCCUUUAACGAGGAUCUAUUGGAGGGCAAGUCUGGUGCCAGCAGCCGCGGUAAUUCCAGCUCCAAUAGCGUAUAUUAAAGUUGCUGCGGUUAAAAAGCUCGUAGUUGGAUCUCAGUUCCGGACCGACGGUUCACCGCCCGGUGGUUACUGUCGGCUUCCGAACGGCCAGUACGCCGGCUCGGCCGGGGUGCUCUUCAUCGAGUGUCCCGGCGCGGCCGGCACGUUUACUUUGAAAAA
rnacentral:rRNA from 1 species